rnacentral:rRNA from 1 species
UGGGGAAUAUUGCACAUGGGCGAAAGCCUGAUGCAGCAACGCCGCGUGGAGGAUGAAGGCCUUCGGGUUGUAAACUCUUGUCUUCUGGGACGAUAAUGAUGGUACCAGAGGAGGAAGCCACGGCUAACUACGUGCCAGCAGCCGCGGUAAUACGUAGGUGGCAAGCGUUGGCCGGAUUUACUGGGCGUAAAGGAUGCGUAGGCGGAUUUUUAAGUGGGAUGUGAAAUACCCGGGCUCAAACUGGGUGCUGCAUUCCAAACUGGAUGUCUGGAGUGCGGGAGAGGAAAGUGGAAGUCCUAGUGUAGCGGUGAAAUGCCUAGAGAUUAGGAAGAACACCAGUGGCGAAGGCGACUUUCUGGACCGUAACUGACGCUGAGGCAUGAAAGCGUGGGG